rnacentral:rRNA from 1 species
UACGUAGGGGGCGAGCGUUGUCCGGAUUUAUUGGGCGUAAAGAGCUCGUAGGCGGUUCGGUAAGUCGGAUGUGAAAUCUCCACGCUUAACGUGGAGGGGCCAUUCGAAACUGCUGUGACUCGAGUCCGGUAGGGGAGUGUGGAAUUCCCGGUGUAGCGGUGAAAUGCGCAGAUAUCGGGAGGAACACCAGUAGCGAAGGCGGCACUCUGGGCCGGUACUGACGCUGAGGAGCGAAAGCGUGGGGAGCGAACAGG